GAAACUGGAAGCCAUUUGAAUUCUUUGCAAGCCAAACUUUUCUCUUGGGGAGGAAAAAAAGAGCAGAAUAACCUGAAGCACCAGAAGUGGUCCCGUGAAGAAAAAGGCAUCUGGAGACUCACCAGAGUUCUUGGACCCAUUUGGAGUUGCUCUGCAGGACAGAGAAAGGAUGGAGACACAACCUUUUGCCAAGGAGGGAAGCAGAAAAGGCCCUUCAGCUGCUCAGCCUGGGAAGGGGGGGAAGCUCUGGAAAAGGACUGGGCAGAAGAUCCUGGAGGUGGAAACCAUCCUCCCUUCAGAAGUUCAGCCCUGGCAGUUCAUCCAGUACUGGGAGACUGAAGGUCCCCGAGGUCUUUGCAGCCAGCUCUAUGACUUUUAUAGGCGAUGGCUGAGACCAGAAAAACACACCAAAGCCCAGAUGCUGGACCUGGUUGUUCUAGAGCAGCUCCUGUUCCUUCUGCCCCUAGAGAUGGAGGGCUGGGUGCGGGAGUGUGGAGCAGAGACCAGCUCCCAGGCGGUGGCCUUGGCUGAAGGUUUCCUCCUGAGCCAGGUGGUGGAACCAAAGGAGCAGGUUGAGUUGCAGUGCUGCAGUGUGGAGAAUAGAGAUCCUGAGGGAAAGAAAAAUCCAUCAAAUCCCCCUCAGGAGUUAUUUUUCAGGAGGAUCCCUUGGGAAGAUCAAAGUCAGGACACCUCAGGAGUGAAAAAAAGAAUGAAGUUUUCUGGUUUUUCUGAUGGAGAUCAAGCAACGGCUGAAUCUCCAAAUCAAGUUUGAUGCCCUGUUGCUCGGUGAGUGUGGCUAGUCGGCCUCCACCACCAUGGCGGGAAGGGGGUUUGCCCUCCCCAGGAUUUAGAGGCUUUCCUUGAGCCCCAGGGCAGGCAAAAAGUGAUUUCCCCUGCAUCCGGAGGCUUGAAACAGGCUUAUUUCUGGACUUCCGGAACCUUUGGAGAGUCUUGUGUCUUUCGAGGAGGUGGCUGUGUAUUUCUCUGAGGAGGAAUGGUUUCAGCUGGAUCCUGAUCAAAAAGCGCUG